CACCCAAUCUAGGCAAAAAUAAUGGGGGUUUAGACGUUGUGGCAGGCUUAUGCACUGUAUGAUCAUAUAAUGUAACUAAACCCCCAUUAUUUUUGCCUAGAUUGGGUG